AUUGAACGCUGGCGGCAGGCCUAACACAUGCAAGUCGAGCGGUAGAGAGAAGCUUGCUUCUCUUGAGAGCGGCGGACGGGUGAGUAAUGCCUAGGAAUCUGCCUAGUGGUGGGGGAUAACGUUCGGAAACGGACGCUAAUACCGCAUACGUCCUACGGGAGAAAGCGGGGGAUCUUCGGACCUCGCGCCAUUAGAUGAGCCUAGGUCGGAUUAGCUAGUUGGUGAGGUAAUGGCUCACCAAAGCGACGAUCCGUAACUGGUCUGAGAGGAUGAUCAGUCACACUGGAACUGAGACACGGUCCAGACUCGUACGGGAGGCAGCAGUGGGGAAUAUUGGACAAUGGGCGAAAGCCUGAUCCAGCCAUGCCGCGUGUGAAGAAGGUCUUCGGAUUGUAAAGCACUUUAAGUUGGGAGGAAGGGCAGUAACCUAAUACGUUAUUGUUUUGACGUUACCGACAGAAUAAGCACCGGCUAACUUCGUGCCAGCAGCCGCAGUAAAAC
rnacentral:rRNA from 1 species